rnacentral:rRNA from 1 species
AAUCUUGCACAAUGGGGGCAACCCUGAUGCAGCGACGCCGCGUGAGCGAUGAAGCCCUUCGGGGUGUAAAGCUCUUUCGACUGGAACGAUAAUGACGGUACCGGGAGAAGAAGCUGCGGCUAACUACGUGCCAGCAGCCGCGGUAAUACGUAGGCAGCGAGCGUUGUUCGGAGUUACUGGGCGUAAAGCGUGCGUAGGCGGUUUUCUAAGAUUGGUGUGAAAUCUCCCGGCUCAACUGGGAGGGUGCGCCGAAGACUGGGAGGCUGGAGUGUGGGAGAGGUAGGCGGAAUUCCUGGUGUAGCGGUGAAAUGCGUAGAUAUCAGGAGGAACACCUGUGGUGUAGACGGCUUACUGGACCACUACUGACGCUGAGGCACGAAAGCUGGGGGAGCGAAC